rnacentral:tmRNA from 1 species
ACCGGUUUCGAUUGCCGGUGCGCGGAAAGGUAAGCACGCAGAGGAACGAGUGGCCUCUAUAAAACAUUCGGCCUAAAUUUAAAUGCAGAUAACAAUGCAAACUACAACGCUAACGCUCAGUUGGCGUACGCUGCUUAAUUAGUUAAGCGGUUCGUCCGUACCUCUUUCCCGUCGGGAGGCUGCGGGCGUCAAUUCAGGCGGGGAACGGCCGCGUUGCUUUGAAAUCGGCAGGGCGGCGGCACUUUGAUUUCUGCCGGCAAGUUCCUUCGGCCGCAGAGGGGCUUGCCGUAAGAUAAUUGCGGCAUAAGCGUGUAGAAAGCCUUUUGGCAAUCCGGUAAGACGCGAGUUCAACUCUCGCCUGCUCCACCA